GAUGAACGCUGGCGGCGUGCCUAAUACAUGCCAGUCGAGCGAACAGACGAGGAGCUUGCUCCUCUGACGUUAGCGGCGGACGGGUGAGUAACACGUGGAUAACCUACCUAUAAGACUGGGAUAACUUCGGGAAACCGGAGCUAAUACCGGAUAAUAUAUUGAACCGCAUGGUUCAAUAGUGAAAGACGGUUUUGCUGUCACUUAUAGAUGGAUCCGCGCCGCAUUAGCUAGUUGGUAAGGUAACGGCUUACCAAGGCAACGAUGCGUAGCCGACCUGAGAGGUGGGCAGGCCGCCUGGGAGGGUGACCCGCCACCCGGGCCCGGAGGGAGGGCCCAGACGGGAACUCGCCGCAACAGGGGGAAAUAUUGCAGAAUCAGCGGCGGGGGGGUGAAGAAGCUCUGCGGACCGUAACACGUUUUUAUGGGGGAAAAACAAAUGUGUAAGUAACUAUGCGUGUGUGAAGGUAACUUAUAAAGAAACCCCGGCUAACCACGGG
rnacentral:rRNA from 1 species